rnacentral:rRNA from 1 species
AUUAACGCUGGCAGUGUGUAUAAUACAUGCAAGUCGAGUGUCCAGCAAUGGACACGGCAGACGGGUGAGAAACGCGUUGGGAUCUACCCUGAAGUGAGGGAUAACCCGCUGAAAGGCGGGGUAAUACCGCAUGUGGUCGAGAGACUAAAGCUUCGGCGCUUCAGGAGGAACCUGCGUAAUAUCAGCUAGUUGGCGAGGUAAUGGCUCACCAAGGCUAUGACGUUUAGCUGGUCUGAGAGGAUGAUCAGCCACAAUGGAACUGAGACACGGUCCAUACUCCUACGGGAGGCAGCAGUAAAGAAUCUUCCGCAAUGGGCGCAAGCCUGACGGAGCAACACUGCGUGGAGGAUGAAGGUUUUCGGAUUGUAAACUCCUUUUAUAUGUCAAGAAAAUGACGGUAGCAUAUGAAUAAGCACCGGCUAACUCCGU